GGGCCAGUGGCUCAGCUUGGUUAGAGCAUCCGGCUGAUAACCGGAAGGUCAGGAGUUCGAAUCUCCUCUGGCCCA
rnacentral:tRNA from 1 species